rnacentral:rRNA from 1 species
GACGUAGGGCGCGAGCGUUGUCCGGAUUUAUUGGGCGUAAAGAGCUCGUAGGCGGCUUGUUGCGUCAGCUGUGAAAACUCGAGGCUCAACCUCGAGACGUCGGUUGAAACCGCAUGGCUAGAGUCCGGAAGAGGAGAGUGGAAUUCCCGGUGUAGCGGUGAAAUGCGCAGAUAUCGGGAAGAACACCCGUGGCGAAGGCGGCUCUCUGGGACGGUACUGACGCUGAGACGCGAAAGCGUGGGGAGCGAACAGG